rnacentral:rRNA from 1 species
UACGAAGGGGGCUAGCGUUGCUCGGAAUCACUGGGCGUAAAGGGUGCGUAGGCGGGUUUUUAAGUCAGGGGUGAAAGCCCACGGCUCAACCGUGGAGGGUCAUUGGAAACUGGGGAACUUGAGUGCAGAAGAGAAAAGCGGAAUUCCACGUGUAGCAGUGAAAUGCGUAGAGAUGUGGAGGAACACCGAUGGCGAAGGCAGCCCCCUGGGCUAACACUGACGCUCAGGCACGAAAGCGUGGGGAGCAAACAGG